CCAUAUCACGUACGAUCGCCGAAGUUAAGCAACGUCGAGCCUGGUCAGCACUUAGAUGGGCGACCGCUCGAGAAUACCGGGUUCUGUAA